GUCCCGGCACAAGAGGAUAGCUGGCCUGUGGGAAAUAUUGAUUGGAGUGGAGCUGAGGGAAACUCCCUCCUUUUUGUAGGCUCCUUUUCUACGGUGUCAAAGCAAUGAAGUGUAUCUACCCACAGUCACCAGUUGUAUCCUGACAGUCUUCCCUUAAAAAUGGGCAAGCUGUGACUCCACGCUCACGGGAAUACAGCAGUGACUGCACUGACUCCAUCACAGUUUGAUGUAUUCAUGUUCUUUGAAAGGACCAGUGGAAAUUGUCAUAAAUUCAUUUGCUAUUCAUGUUAAUGAAUGCUAGCUCUUAUUCUUCCUCAAUGGUAUUAUGAUUGCAAUCUGGAUUGCCAUAGGGACCCCACUGUAAUUCAUCAUUGCUUCAGUGUUCAAAUUCUCUGGUGGAACCAGAUAUUGGUGUCGACAACAUCUGGAGUUUUACAUCUCUCGUCUUUUUUCUACCUCCUUCCCUCUGUUUAAUCAAGAGAAUGGGAAGGGGAAAUUGCUGCCAUUGUUAAUAUCUUCAAGAAACCGAAUGACUGCUAGGACUUUGGAGGAUAUUUAGACCUAGGAUUAGGAGAUACAGGUCUGUUCACAGAGGUGAGACUGAGGAACAUCUGCUUUCAACACACUGUAAUGCCAGUCGCCAUGGCAUGCCCAGAGAGGCAGGAGGCCACGCUUCCAUCUCCCAUUCUGAA